GCCAAAGGUAACAACAUUGAAUAAAUACUUUGUGUAUUUGAUUGUGUAUAAUUAUGAAAGUAUAAUAGAUUGAUACAAGAUAAAUAAAUAGUUUGGAUAGUCAUUGUCAAUCUGCAUUAGCACUUUGUCCAGACUUUUAUUAUCUUUGUUUUGAAAUGCAUUAAAUAUAUCUAUGGCUACAAAUUUAAAGUGCCAAGAUAUGGUUUUCUUAAGCAAUCCCUAGGUUUAUUUAGUCAGUCUCCUUAAUAGAUAUACUUUUGAUGAUUUCAAGAACUAGUCAUAGUUAAGUCCCCCUAAUCUAAAAUAGUUGUGAAGAGCCCUAUUCUAUACCAACUAUUACUGGUAUUGGUAAAUAAAAGAUUAAAAAUAUGAUAAAAAAUAAUAAAUAUGAAAGAAUGUGGCUAUCCCAGACCUAAUGUGUUAUGACCUAAAUUUCUAAUAUUUACAAGAUGAUGUACAAAGUUAUUAUUUUAGAAUUUGUCAACAUUUAUAUCUGUGAGAUCACGUGAUGAAGGGAAAAUAGGAGAAUCCCUCAUUUAGUCCUUUUGGGGACAGGGUUUGCAACCGGUAGAUCCUGUAGCAUUCUCUCUUCCUAAUAUGCUGAUCCCAGUUACCUUUUCUUUGAUCUUCUUUUAGAAGUUCAAUGCCUUGAAAUCUCAAGACAGUGGGAUCACCCUGGUGGACAGUUUUGACAUGUCUUGAGACCGGAGUCUGUGUCUUAUUGUCUUUACCGAAUUGAUGUGUUCCAAGAUUCUUCGUCUGAAGGGGCGGAAAGUUUUUCCCACAUAUGACAUCCCACAUUGGCAGGUGAUCAAAUAAACUAGUCCUUUGGAACUGCAGUUAAAGAAGGCUGGGGUGUCAAAAUGCAGGCUGUUGGAGCUAUUAUUGAAGGUCUUAGAAUCUUUUUUAAUAAACUCACAGGCCUUGCAUCUGCCACAUUUAUAAGUACCUUUAAGGUUAUUGGUUAACCAAUGUAUAGGUGCUUUUGUUCUCUGAAAGUGGCUACGUACGAGGGAGUCUUUAAGGUUCUUCCCUCUCCUUGCCAUCACAGCUGCCUGUGUUGGAAUGAUGUCCUUCAGUAAUUCAUCUUGUUUCAGCAGAGGCCAGAAUCUAUUCAUGAUGGAUCUGUCAUGAUGGAUCUGACAUGAUCCCAACCGGCAUCGUAGGUGGCUAUGCACCUAAGUUGUUUAUUAUCUGGUUCAGUGGGUCUAUGGGGUAUUCCUUCUUCCAUUAUCAGACUCUCUCUAUCAGGCUCUCUUCAGACAUUUAUUAGGAUACCCUUUAGACCUAAACAUAGCCCUUAGAUCUUUAGCCUUCACUAUGAAAUCCUCAACAUCUGAACAGUUACGCCAGAGUCGCAAGUACUGGCCAAUGGGGAUGCCUCUUUUCUGGGGGACUGGAUGGUAACUGCCCAAAUUAAGUAAGCUAUUGGUAGCUGUGCUUUUUCUGAACAAGUUGGUCUUAAUGGUACCGUUAGAACAAGAUCUAGAAAAGUUAGGGAGGCGGUUCCUAUCUCAGUUGUGAAUUUUACAUUUAAGUCAUUCACAUUAAGCUUCUGUACAAGAUUAGCAAACUGUUCAUUUGUACCUGUCCAUAUGAUUACAAUGUCAUCUAUAUAUCUCUUCCAAUAAUAGAUGUAUUGUGUUAGGUCAUUCUUAGGGUCUGCAAAGACUAUUUGCUCUUCCCACCACCCCAGGUGCAGGUUAGCGUAUGAGGGUGCACAGGAUGUCCCCAUCGCUGUCCCCUGCACCUGGUGGUAGAAUACUCCAUCAAAUAGGAAAAAAUUGUGCGUUAAAACGAACUUGCGGAGUUGUAUGGUGAAGUCGCUGUGUUUAUCAAACUGACUUCCUCUUUUUCUUAAGAAGUGGCUAGUAUGUUUUAAACCUAGGAUGUGGGGGAUUGAACUAUAAAGGGACUCCACAUCUAAACUGCACAGUAUUGAUUGUGGAGGCAUUUGAAUCCUAGUUAACUCUGCCAAGGUUUGUUUUGUAUCUCUGAGGUAUGAUGGUAAUCGAGUGACCAGAGGUUUCAAGAUUUGGCAUUUUGUGUCAGGUUGUUAUUACCGGAGACUCUAGUUCCGGUGAGAACUUUAUACUGUUUGUGUAUCUUGGGUAAGCUAUAGAAAGUUGAGAUAUGUGGACUGUCACUUAAGAUAUAAUCAUAUUAAUUUUUUGAGAUCACUGUAUCUUUCAAUCCUUUUUGUAGAAUUGUUUUUAAUUCCUCUAAGAACUUUUUUUGACGGAUCAGAUUUGAUAACUUUAUAUGUCUUAACAUCAGUCAAUAUUCUCUUCGUCAUUUCUACAUAAUUAGGGGUGUCCAUAAUUACGAUAUUGCCCCCCUUAUCGGAGGGCUUAAUCGUAAUUUCCUUGUUAUCUCUUAAGGAAUUAAGAGCCCUUACUUCUGCUGUGGAUAAGUUAGUUAGAUUUUAGAGUUAGUUCUGAUGUUGUAAUUUUUUCAAUCUCAUUACAUACUAAUUCCACGAAAGUUUCAACAUAUUUAGCAUCCCCAAGUUUAGGACAGUAUUGGCUUUUCUUUUUAAGAUCUGUAACGGGACACACGGAUUGUUCACCAUUCUCGUUCUCCUCAAGGAGAUCCGCAAGUAGCAUGGCCAUUUUAUAAUCUCCGGGAUUUAAGCCUAAGGCUUUUGCCUUUUUGUCCUCAAUGAGGAGAUAGUUUUUAUGUAGUAAGGGUUUUCUGGCAAAUAAGUGUAUAUCUUUGACCCAGGUAAAUUUAUCAAAGUGUGGGGUUGGUAUAAAUGACAGCCCUUUACCCAGUAAUUCUACUUCUGAUGGUGUGAGUUUAUACUUGGAUAAAUUGACCACUUGGUUUUUAUUUAGAACUGAUUCCGCCUGUUGUGUUGUUUUCUUGGUCGUUGGGGGAAACCUUCCCCCUGUUUGUCUAAAAAAGUUACCCCUUUUUUAAGGAUUCCCCUGUUCUGUUCGUCUGGAGUUGAGGUAGAAGGUUGUGGAUCUAAUUCUGACUCACUUGAUUCGUAUUCAGAGGUCGAGAUCUGAUCAAUAUCUAUUUUUCUUCUCCUCUGAAAUCUGUACACGUUACCUGUCUUGAAAUCUUUAGUAUCCCUUAAGAAUUUUUGAGGUUUACGUUGUUUUACUAUGAAUUGAUAUUUCUCCAAGUUGUUUUGUAACCUAUUUUCAUUCAGAGUGAAGGUGGGGUCUGUUUAAAAUUGUUGGACCCUAACUACUUCUUCGUCAACCUUUUUCUCUAUAUCUUUUAACUUUUUAUUUUCAUAUUUACAGAUUAUUUCCAUAAACUUGGCAGAGCAUUGUCCUGCCACUUCCUCCCAUUCUUUAAUGAAGUCCUCUUCUUCUAUAUGUGUCGUCGAUGUUGUAGGAACUCUUAAUCCCCUUGGUAUUAGCCCCUUUUUAAAGUAGUUUUCUAAUGAUGCUAUCUCCCAACUUGUUCUAAUCUGCUGUUUGUAUAAUUGAGUUAGGGUAUUGAAACCUGCCGUUAGAGUAUAAUUAGACUCGUCGGGUGGUAAAUUAGCUUCUGAGAAGAUCAAAUCUGCGUCUUGGCACCACUUGGAAGCAUUGGGUAAGUUUGAGAGGAAUCCUGCCAUCUAAACUUGAAAAUCUGAUCUCACCGUUCUUGACCAAAAGAAAUGGGUCUUAAACCCUUAAAAUGAAAUAUAAUACAACGGGAUAAAUGCUUCGUUUGCCAAACUGCCCCAAUAGAUGGACAACAGGGCAUGCAAGGUAAUACAAAGCCAUUUCCAUGUGGACCAUUUUUAGCCCAAGGCAGCUCAUCUCAUCAGGCCUUUUUUAGUCGAAUGUAUCACCCACUGUCAGUCCCGUC